CAACUGUAAGUAAACUCAAGAUUGAAGAUAAAGUCACAGAGCCUGAGGAGCCCAACUUGUUGGGGAGGAUGAUAGAAGCUUUGCACAUGGAGUUGCUUUUUGUGAGGCACGGAAUUGCUGUAAAGUUAGCCAACUUAGGGCAAGAGCCCCAAGAACCGAAGAAGCCAGCUUAGAAACUGAAGGAGAAGUUAAAGGCUACCAGUACCAGCUCCCUGCAGUUUAGUCAAGUAGAAAAUAAAUUGCAGUCUGAGUGCAACAGGAAUCCCCUGUCCAAGGCUCUUCUGCUGAUGCACAUGGCAGGACAGGCUGUCACGUCAAGGGGUCACUUGGGAACUGAACGACAAACACAGCUUCUACAGAUAUGAAAUUUCUCAAGAAUAUCUCUUAUAUUCCUGUUCAGCUACACUGAACGGUCACGCCCUCCUGAUUCUCGAUUUUGAAUCUCGUAGUCACGCUUUUGUGUCACACAUUCUUGCUUUUUGUAUCAAGCAUUCUUGCUUUUUUAACACGCUCCUGCUGUUAUGUCAGGCAUUCUUACUUCUACAUCAUUCACGUAUUAUUGUGUUGCAACGUUAUACAGCACAGGGUCGUGCUGUAGUGUCACAAGUUGUUUCGCAUC